rnacentral:rRNA from 1 species
GGCGGACGGGUGAGUAACCGCGUGGGUAACCUGCCUCAUACAGGGGGAUAACAGCUGGAAACAGCCGCUAACACCGCAUAAGCACACAGCACCGCAUGGUGCAGGGUGAAAAUAUUUAUAGGGUAUGAGAUGGACCCCGCGUCUGAUUAGCUAGGUUGGUAGGGUAAAGGCCUACCAAGGCGACGAUCAGUAGCCGGCUUGAGAGAGUGACCGGCCACAUUGGGACUGAGACACGGCCCAAACUCCUACGGGAGGCAGCAGUGGGGAAUAUUGCACAAUGGGGGAAACCCUGAUUGCAGCGACGCCGCGUGAGUGAAGAAGUAUUUCGGUAUGUAAAGCUCUAUCAGCAGGGAAGAAAAUGACGGUACCUGACUAAGAAGCCCCGGCUAACUACGUGCCAGCAGCGGC